UACGGGGGGGGCAAGCGUUGUUCGGAAUUACUGGGCGUAAAGGGCUCGUAGGCGGCCAACUAAGUCGGAUGUGAAAUCCCCAGGCUUAACCUGGGAACUGCAUCCGAUACUGGAUGGCUUGAAUCCGGGAGAGGGAUGCGGAAUUCCAGGUGUAGCGGUGAAAUGCGUAGAUAUCAGGAGGAACACCUGUGGCGAAAGCGGCGCACUGGACCACAACUGACGCUGAGGCGCGAAAGCUAGGGGAGCAAACAGG
rnacentral:rRNA from 1 species